rnacentral:misc_RNA from 1 species
AUCUUUUCACAUCAAAUACAAAUAGUUCAACUCAUUAAACCUUCUUUCAUUCAAUGUACCACAUUCAGAAGUCAUCUUGUAAUUCUAAAGGUUGAGAAAAGUCACUUUCCACAAAGGCACUUGUAGAAGCCACUGGCUAAUGUGAAGUGUACAAAAUAAUUCUCUCAGAUUUUACACAUCAACAGUCAUUUUGCAAUGAAGGCACUUAUAGAAGUCACUGGCUAAUAUGAAAUGUACAAAAUAAUUUGUAGAUUUUUACACAUCAAAGUCAUUUUUCAAUGAAAAUGU